GUCCACGCCGUAAACGAUGAAUACUUGGUGUUGGAGGUAUUGACCCCUUCAGUGCCGAAGCUAACGCGUUAAGUAUUCCGCCUGGGAAGUACGGUCGCAAGAUUAAAACUCAAAGAAAUUGACGGGGGCCCGCACAAGCGGUGGAGCAUGUGGUUCAAUUCGAUGCAACGCGAAGAACCUUACCUAGAUUUGACAUGUAUUGGAAGACUACCAGAAAUGGUGUCGCCUUCGGGCCGAUACACAGGUGCUGCAUGGCUGUCGU
rnacentral:rRNA from 1 species